rnacentral:pre_miRNA from 1 species
AACCUGGAGAACAAGUAUCUUGUAGAGGUCGACCGCAAAAACUGUAUAAGAAUGCAUGAUCACCUAAGA